rnacentral:rRNA from 1 species
AUUGAACGCUGGCGGCAUGCUUUACACAUGCAAGUCGAACGGCAGCACGGGGGCAACCCUGGUGGCGAGUGGCGAACGGGUGAGUAAUGUAUCGGAACAUAUCCGGAAGUGGGGGAUAACGUAGCGAAAGUUACGCUAAUACCGCAUAUGCCCUGAGGGGGAAAGGGGGGGAUCGCAAGACCUCUCGCUUUCGGAGUGGCCGAUAUCGGAUUAGCUAGAUGGUGGGGUAAAGGCUUACCAUGGCGACGAUCCGUAGCUGGUCUGAGAGGACGACCAGCCAAACGGGGACUGAGACACGGCCCAGACUCCUACGGGAGGCAGCAGUGGGGAAUUUUGGACAAUGGGGGCAACCCUGAUCCAGCCAUGCCGCGUGAGUGAAGAAGGCCUUCGGGUUGUAAAGCUCUUUCAGACGGAAAGAAACGGUCACGGCGAAUACCCGUGACUAAUGACGGUACCGUAAGAAGAAGCACCGGCUAACUACGUGCCAGCCGCCGCAGUAA